ACCUUGACGGUACCUAACCAGAAAGCCACGGCUAACUACGUGCCAGCAGCCGCGGUAAUACGUAGGUGGCAAGCGUUGUCCGGAAUUAUUGGGCGUAAAGCGCGCGCAGGCGGUUUCUUAAGUCUGAUGUGAAAGCCCCCGGCUCAACCGGGGAGGGUCAUUGGAAACUGGGGAACUUGAGUGCAGAAGAGGAGAGUGGAAUUCCACGUGUAGCGGUGAAAUGCGUAGAGAUGUGGAGGAACACCAGUGGCGAAGGCGACUCUCUGGUCUGUAACUGACGCUGAGGCGCGAAAGCGUGGGGAGCGAACAGGAUUAGAUACCCUGGUAGUCCACGCCGUAAACGAUGAGUGCUAAGUGUUAGAGGGUUUCCGCCCUUUAGUGCUGCAGCAAACGCAUUAAGCACUCCGCCUGGGGAGUACGGUCGCAAGACUGAAACUCAAAGGAAUUGACGGGGGCCCGCACAAGCGGUGGAGCAUGUGGUUUAAUUCGAAGCAACGCGAAGAACCUUACCAGGUCUUGACAUCCUCUGACAACCCUAGAGAUAGGGCUUCCCCUUCGGGGGCAGAGUGACAGGUGGUGCAUGGUUGUCGUCAGCUCGUGUCGUGAGAUGUUGGGUUAAGUCCCGCAACGAGCGCAACCCUUGAUCUUAGUUGCCAGCAUUCAGUUGGGCACUCUAAGGUGACUGCCGGUGACAAACCGGAGGAAGGUGGGGAUGACGUCAAAUCAUCAUGCCCCUUAUGACCUGGGCUACACACGUGCUACAAUGGGCAGAACAAAGGGCAGCGAAGCCGCGAGGCUAAGCCAAUCCCACAAAUCUGUUCUCAGUUCGGAUCGCAGUCUGCAACUCGACUGCGUGAAGCUGGAAUCGCUAGUAAUCGCGGAUC
rnacentral:rRNA from 1 species